rnacentral:tRNA from 1 species
GGAUGGGUGUCCGAGUGGCUAAAGGAGGCAGACUGUAAAUCUGUUCGCUAACGCGUACGCUGGUUCGAAUCCAGCCUCAUCCACCA